AUCGCUUCUCGGCUCUUUUGAGCUAAGAUCAAGUGUAGUAUCUGUUCUUCUCAGUUUAAUACCUGGGACGGAAACGAUUCGUUUCCUCUAUGUAUUAAUCGGAUUUUUGAACUUGGAGUAUGGUGCUGGAGCUUGCUCCACCCUGCUCACGGGUUGUCCUGGUAUUGCAGUACCUACCAGGUUCGGCUCACGUUUC
rnacentral:snRNA from 1 species